rnacentral:rRNA from 1 species
AGUGAACGCUGGCGGCGUGCCUAAUACAUGCAAGUCGAACGGAGUGGCGCACGGGUGAGUAAUAUAUAGCUAAUCUGCCCCUUGCUGGAGGACAACAGUUAGAAUUGAUUCCUAUUAUCCCAAAGCAAGGGAGGGGAUGAUAUCGAAUCAGCUAGUCGGUGGGGUAACGCCCUACCGAGGCUAGGACGGGUAACUGGUCUGAGAGGAUGAUCAGUCACAUUGGAACUGAGACACGGUCCAAACUCCUACGGGAGACAGCAGUAGGGAAUAAUGCGCAAUGGGGGAAACCCUGACGGAGCAACGGCGCGUGGAGGAUGACACUUUUCGGAGCGUAAACUCCUUUUGUUAGGGAAGCGGUACCUAACGAAUAAGCACCGGCUAACUCCGUGCCAGCAGCCGCGGUAAUAC